CGGAAGGAAGUAUUAUAUUGAAUACACCGUAUGGUUAACCGUUAUCAUGUUUAUUCUUACAUCAGUAGAACUUUCGCGGUACAAUAAUAAUUUGGGAUUAUUGUGUGGCCAGUAAUGGAUUAUGUCGCGUGUUUUGUAAUACACGCAUUACUGCAAAGUGAAACGAGGUCAUUCUGUUGUGUACUUUGGUCAAAGGAAGAGAAAGAUGGAGUCCCUUAUAAAAAGAAAAUGAGACUGAUGGGAUUUCGUUUUAAAGGAAGAAGAGUCUGAAGCUAACGUGUAUACCUACGAGAGUUCUGACGAAUCACCAAAGAAAAAGAAUAACUCAAAGUUCUGGUGGCUUGGGUGCAGUGAAUUCGAAAUAUCAACAGCGACCCUCAAAUACAGAAUAUGAAAGAAAAAGACUUUACUAUCUAUGAGUACCAACAUAAUUUUUAAAAAGAUCAAUGGAUUUGGAAUCCAGACCAGACAGUCAAGAAUAUUUACCGCAAAUAGAAAAUUAGCAAAAGUGACAGCAACACACGUAUGUUUCGAUUGGUGUGAUAUAUUUUAGACAGGAGUAGCAGACUGUGGUGCAUUGAUUCCAAAAUCUUGACAAAACAACAACUGAACACCUUUCUGUCUCUUUCAAGUAGGAUUGUGCUAUUUUUUUUAAUGCCAGAAAUUAAUACGGGAUAGUUUGAAAGAAGAACUUUCAAAAUGACACAUAUUAGCACAAGGAUUCAUUGCAAUGAGACAAUUUCAGAUUUUGUGUAUUUUCAACUUUUUAUUUUUUUAUAAACUUUAAAUAAUUUGAUGAACGGCAAGUAUUAUUUAAAUAUGAACACGUAAGUCUCAUGUGUGGUUCAUGUAGUUUUUAACUGCUUUUCGUUUAAAAAGGGGGUUCCCUUCAAAGAAAAUUCAAUCAAGACAUCGAAAUAAAAUAUUGAACUCGAUUUCAAAUUCAUUUUAUUUUCCUAUUUUUGCCGUGUUUUUAUCAAAUCUUAGCAUAUUUUUAAGUGAGAAAAGAAGACUUCUUGAUGCUUAUAGUGUUCCACACUCAAUUUUUAAACAUUGUCACAUUUCAUAUGUUAUAUUCUGGCUUUCAAUGUUUUAAGUAUUUUUUGUUUGUUGGUGAACGUGCAAAUUGUGUUGUGACCAAUGUAAUUUAUUAAGCAGUUUAUUAAGCUUGAUUUUGUUGUUCUUUAAACAAUGAAUAACCAUUUUUAUUAAUUUAAAAAUAAGGAGAAAUUCAUCAUCUGUUCAUCUCUAAGGUUGCUUUUACUCAAUGAGAUAUUACCAUUUUUAUAGAUUAAUAAUAUUUAAUAUAUCAGUAUGUCACGUGCAGGUGAAGUCAUUUCUUCUUAAUGAAACAUCAUUACUUUCCUCAUUUUCAUAAAAUUAUAAAUAUUUGAAAAAAAAAUAAAAAAAUUGGAAAUUUUGGACCUCAUUGACCAAUGAGACAGUUGUCCACGAAUGGUCAGAUGAGGUGAAUGCGAGCAAUUAAAGACAAACAUACGACCUUCAAUAUUAUAAGAAACAGCCAUACCGUAUAUUCAUCUAUAAAAGGCCCAGAUAUAAAAAAAAUAUGAAACAAUUCAAUUGAAAAAGAUAAUGGCCUAAUGUAUUACAAUUUACGAAGAACAGUAUGGCAGAAAUGAACCAACAACAACCACUGAACGACCGCCUCCUGACUUUGGACAGGCACAUUGAGAAUGUGGAGGGGACAAGUUUGUGAGCGCUCAAUCCUCUCCUAGCCUGAGACAGUGGUGUAAUAGCAUACCCUACGAAUAAGCAUUUAGAUAGUCCAGUAUCAUUUAAAUAACAAUAGUUUCAAAAUUUCACUUAAUUUUGAAAUCAAGAGUUAGUAACAAAACAAAAAUGGAAAAUUUAAUACAGAUUGAAUCACCUGGGUGCAAUGUUGACAGAUAUGUAUAAUACAAGUGUUGAAAUUUAAAUUACAAUACUUAAAUAACCAAUUACCACUAUUUAUCAGUGUUCUGAUAUAUAUAAAUAUAUACAAAAAAGUCUUAAAAAGUCCCAAGAUGGAUGAAAACGCUAGACAAUGCUGCUUUUAAAACUCUUUUUGUGUAUUUAAUUUUUGAUUAAAAAUCGACCCUUUGCAAAAGUUUAAAAGUCAAUGAAUCAUGGAUGGGGGAGGGAAAAUAAUCAUCAUGCAAAAGCUAGUACAUCUUAUGUAAUCAUCGUUAGUGUUAAGCUUUAAACUGACCAAAUCACAAACAUCGACCUGUAAACUAACUAUGUGCAUUUAUUGCUCUAUUGAAUAUAACUGUGUAAACCUAAUUUUGUGACUGAAUUCAGUCAUUCUAUUUUUUACUUUUGCAGAAUUGGUCUAUUUUAAACAAAUAUUUAGUGAAUUUGUGUUGACUGAAUUCAGUCAUCUGUUUUAUAGAUAUUAAUACUAUUUUAUAUCAUUUGGUGUAAUUUAAGUUUUAUUUAGUUCAAUUUCUUGUAGCUUCUUUCAAGUUUUGUGUGACUGAAUUCAGUCAACAUUUUGUGAAAAUAAUGAACAGGAUACAGAGUUAAUUUCAUUUAGCUGUUGUUCUGUUAUAUGUUGUUUGUAUUUAAUCUGUAAUAUCUGUAAUCCGAAUUCUGUUUCCGAAUUUACAGUUUGGGCUUUAUUUAAGAAGCAACAAGUACAAAUAAGAUUUAUGUUACUUUCAAAUAUACUGAUUUGAUUCUUUGAUAUAAAGAUGAAAUCGAGUGACUGAAUUCAGUCACUCAAAUAAUAUUAACAAUACAAUGUUGUUUUUUUUCUUCAUAUGUUGUAAGUUAACAAUACUAAUAAAGUAUUCAUGCAAAUAUUUCUUUGCCACGGUUGACGUUUUAAUACGUUUUAAAUAAAACGGAAAUGAA